rnacentral:rRNA from 1 species
GACGGAGGAUGCAAGCGUUUGUCCGGAAUGAUUGGGCGUAAAGCGUCUGUAGGUGGUUUCUUGAGUCUACUGUUAAAGAUCAGGGCUUAACCCUGGGCAGGCAGUAGAAACUAAGAAGCUUGAGUACGGUAGGGGCAGAGGGAAUUCCCGGUGUAGCGGUGAAAUGCGUAGAGAUCCGGAGGAACACCAGUGGCGCAGGCGGCUCUCUGGGUCGGCCCUGACGCUGAGGCGCGAAAGCGUGGGGAGCGAAUAGG